GAGGUAAAGAAGCAGUUAAGGAGAUAAAGCGUUUAAAGAUAGAUGAUGUUUUUCUCUAUCAGUGGUACAUCGAUCAGGGCGUCUACUGCUACAUUAGGUACCUGAAUUCGAAACCUGCAGCAUUUGCGCUAAUAUCAAGAAUGAACUUCGAUCCUCUAGAUAUUCAUAAAAAUCCUAAGAUGCUGAAUUACGUCUAUACUUUACCGGAGUAUCGAAGAAGAGGAUAUGCCACCGAACUUGUGACUCACAUCAUUGGCGUUACUGAAUUUUCAGCAUUUUGUUCCAACGAGGAGUCCGAAAAAUUGUUUGAAAAAUGCAAUUGCACAAAUCACGGUAUAGUAAAUAACGCCGUAAUGUUUAGAUACCCUUAAUAAAACACGUUUUGCAUAAAUUGUUUUUAUUCCUAAUAUACCUAUAAAUAGAUUAAUGACCUAUAAAUAGAAUUUGCUUAUACCAACCUAUAUAACUUUCGCAACUCCCUAUACAUUUAUUAUCGAAUUUAUCGUAACGUUGAGUGGUAUCAUUGAAUAAAAACACUAUUUUUAUUCAAUGGUGGUAUCUAGGAGGAGUUCGCUAUAUAUGCGAUACAUUAUUCAGAUUUUUCCCAUUCCAAUUCGAUCAUUCGUUGAGAUCAGUCGUAUUGUAUCUGUUGGUGCGAAUUUAUUAGUCGUAUUUUAUCUGUUAGUGUGUAUUUUCUUAAACGUAUUAUAUCUAUAGCUCAAGGUGCGGCCAUCAUCUUUGGCCCAUUGCAGACGGCCUAUGGUAAAUACGCCACAUAUCUAUCACACGUUUAACCAUAUAUUUGUAGAACGAGAACUCCGAACAUAUCUCAAACAAAAAUAUGGAUCUGAAAAUGUUGCUAUUUUACGGGGUCGGGGGGUAAUCCCUGACUCCGUAAAGAUAGAGGAAGGUAGCUUCCUGGGGCGGAGGUUCCAGGUCUUUAAGGACCUGGAACUACAAAACACGUACUGGGUGUUUUAUAACUAAUAAACCCGCAUUAAAUUUUGUUUUGUUUUACUUAUUCACUCCAUUCUGACUAAGCCCUUACCUAAAAUAAUAAGAUGUAGUGAUUAGGGUGUUAUCAUUUCUUCCGUAAAACAAGUGUUAUAGAUAUUAAAUUAAGAAGCUCACCUUAUAAUCAAUAUUAUCGUUAUAUAAAUGUAGAUCCGAGAAAAAUUGAUUUAACUGAAUACCAAACAAAUUGAUGUAAUACAUAAUAUUUCACAAUGUUAUCGCAUUUAUUUAUCACAACUGUAUUAUUCUCUACUCCUGAUCAAUAAAUGUGAAGUAUAGAUAUUAAUAAUAAUAAUAAAUCCGCACGCCGUUUAACCAAUAACCAUGAUGAUGAAGUCAAUCCUCCAUUGGAGUUUGAUAUCGUCUAAAAAAGAUAUCAAUGUAGGCUUUUAUUACAAAAUAAUUUUGAUACUUACGGUCCAACUCUGAUGUAGACUAUGUUUUCUGCUGUCAGCUUAUUACUUAUAAACGCCCAUAUAAAAUAAUCGCUGAAUAAAUACAAUAAAAUGUCCCGCAAAUUAUGCGCGCAAGGACACGUAUCCCUAAGAAAAGUAAAUUAUAAGCAACUAAAAAUUGAAAAAAGGCUUACCUGAGGUAUAUAAGAAGGCGCCUGUCUAAGUAGGUGUAUACCCACAUGCACUUUUUGAAAUCGGAUUGCGGAUGCACGCCGUUUUUAUGGGAGAUUUUCGAACUUUACGCAUUCAUACACAAUAAAACCCGUAUAUAGGUGUCGAUGUGGAAAUGAAAUGAGAUAAAGUACCAUAUCAAAUUCGCGAGCACGCGCUGCUAUAAAUAAACACUAUCGCAAGAUUGAAACUUUCCAUACCAAUUAUUAGAAUAAUGACAUCUGCGAACUCUGUUCUCUUAUUGCUUUAAUGACAUCUGCGAACUCUGUUCUCUUAUUGCUUUCGCAACUUAAUAGUUAUUAUUUUAGAUCGAGAAAUGUGCAAUCAUUUUUGCGAGGAGUCGAGGUAAACUAUACGUUUUAACCGUAUAUUUGUAGAACAAGAAACUACUAUUAUUUUCGGCGGGAUAAACCCAGCGAGAACGGAGCGGGGGAUUUCCAAUUAUGAAUAACAAUGCUGUCAUUAAAAUGGGCGUUGCUGACGUCGAGGCUCUCUUCGACGCAAAUUUUAUGUAAGUAGAGUAAGCGCUUUAAUUGUAAUAAUAAACUUCAAAUCACUAUUUCCGCUGUAAAUAAAAACACCCUACAUUUUGUUUGUUGUUUUUUCCCUGCCCACUCCUGUUCUGGUUAUAGGGAACCUACCUCCGAUAUGGAAUUAUAGGUAAGAAUGAGGGUCCUCGCACCUGUCUCCUGAAAUUACAAUUUCCUACCCUAGUCGCAUCAAUCUAAUAGAGGGAGUCGGAUGAAAAUAUACCUCUAUAUGCAUUACGACGCCAAUAGAUGGCGCCUCCGUAUCAAAUCGCUAUUUCAGCUCUAAAUAAAAACGCUCUACAUUUUG